GACGAACGCUGGCGGCGUGCUUAACACAUGCAAGUCGAACGAUGAAGCCGGAGCUUGCUCUGGUGAAUUAGUGGCGAACGGGUGAGUAACACGUGAGUAAACUGCCCUUGACUCUGGGAUAACUGCGGGAAACUGUAGCUAAUACCGGAUACGACCCUCGGAGGCAUCUCCUGGGGGUGGAAAGAAUUUCGGUCAAGGAUGGACUCGCGGCCUAUCAGCUAGUUGGUGAGGUAAAGGCUCACCAAGGCGACGACGGGUAGUCGGCCUGAGAGGGUGACCGGCCACACUGGGACGGAGACACGGCCCAGACUCCGACGGGAGGCAGCAGUGGGAAAUAUUGCACAAUGGGCGCAAGCCUGAUGCAGCGACGCCGCGUGAGGGAUGACGGCCUUCGGGUUGUAAACCUCUUUCAGCUAUGACGAAGCGCAAGUGACGGUAGUAGCAGAAGAAGGACCGGCCAACUACGUGCCAGCCGCCGCAGUAA
rnacentral:rRNA from 1 species